ACAUCUCUUCUGGCUACUCCAAGAUUUUCCAAACCUAUUGAUACAAUUGCUGACUUCCUCGAACAAGGAAUAUCUUGGGGUGAUAGAAGCCAAGAGCAAACUAUCCGUAAAGGCUUGAUUGAAAUGGGCAAUGCUGAUCUAUUAAAACUGGCAGACAAAUAUGUACUUGAGAAGUCAGAGUCAGAAGGACUAAGAAGAAUUGAGACAGGAAAGUAUGCGAAAUUUACUAAGAUCUUGUCUAAUAAUUUUGCAACUGAUACGGAGUCUUUCGAGAGUCAUGCCCAUUAUCUACGAAGAAUGAAGGAAUGCUACAAUAGAUAUUUUUCUGUAUUGCUCUUACACAAAAAGUCUCCAUAUACAGAAUUCAUAAGUCAUGG